UACGUAGGGGGCAAGCGUUGUCCGGAAUCAUUGGGCGUAAAGCGCGUGUAGGCGGCUGGCUAAGUCCGCUCUGAAAGCCCGGGGCUCAACCCCGGGAGGCGGGUGGAUACUGGUCAGCUCGAGUCCGGAAGAGGAGUGUGGAAUUCCUGGUGUAGCGGUGAAAUGCGCAGAUAUCAGGAGGAACACCGGUGGCGAAGGCGGAUCUCUGGGCCAUUACUGACGCUGAGGAGCGAAAGCGUGGGGAGCAAACAGG
rnacentral:rRNA from 1 species